ACUUUUGACGUUUAAAAGUCACUUGUCACAAAAUCGAUCAAAAUUAUCCGUAGAACUUCUCAUUAAAAUCCUUUUAAAUGUUAUACUGGGUAAACUAUCCACAUAUGGAUCACAACGAAAACUGAUGCAUUCAAAUUCCACAAAAGCCAUACGAAGACUACUGCAAUGAUUACAGAUCUGUAGAAAGAUACAAUCCCUGCAUAUAUCAUCAUUAUUCUCAAUCUCCUUGUAACCAGUGCGGAAGAACACACUUUCAACAAAGUACCG